UGAUAAUUAGUUUAAUAAAAACAAAUGAUUUCGACUCAUUAGAUUAUGACCAUAACCAUAAUUAUCAA